UACAGAGGGGGCAAGCGUUAUUCGGAUUUACUGGGCGUAAAGGGCGCGUAGGCGGCAAUUCAAGUCAGCUGUGAAAUCUCCGGGCUUAACUCGGAACGGUCAGCUGAUACUGCUUAGCUAGAGUGCGGAAGGGGCAAUCGGAAUUCUCGGUGUAGCGGUGAAAUGCGUAGAUAUCGAGAGGAACACCUGAGGUGAAGACGGGUUGCUGGGCCGACACUGACGCUGACAGCGCGAAAGCCAGGGGAGCAAACGGG
rnacentral:rRNA from 1 species